AGUGGCGGACGGGUGAGUAACGCGUGGGUAACCUGCCUCAUACAGGGGGAUAACAGUUAGAAAUGACUGCUAAUACCGCAUAAGACCACAGCACCGCAUGGUGCAGGGGUAAAAACUCCGGUGGUAUGAGAUGGACCCGCGUCUGAUUAGGUAGUUGGUGGGGUAACGGCCUACCAAGCCGACGAUCAGUAGCCGACCUGAGAGGGUGGCCGGCCACAUUGGGACUGAGACACGGCCCAA
rnacentral:rRNA from 1 species